UUUUAUUGCCCAAAAUUUUAUUUUCAUGCAUCAAAACUUGCACGCCCCUCUCUCUAUCUCUCUCCGAUUUGAAAGCAAUUACCGGCAGUUAGAAAGAACAAUAAAACAUGGAGGGAAAACAAGAAAGGCCACAGAACAUAAGUUUUGAGCCAAGAAAACUUCAAUUGCAAGAAACCAAAAAGCAGCAGAUGCCGAUGAGUGGGCACACCGGGGUGACAACAACUCGUUGCUACGCAGAGAUCGCACAUUUGGCCUCACCGAGGGGACACACAGAUUCGAAACCUAAUUGUCUUUGUUCCCCGACCACCCACGUUGGAUCUUUCAGGUGUCGCUAUCAUAGAGCCAGUUCACUUGCUAACCAUGGUGGCUCUUUUAAUCAUCUCCCAAACUUUGAUACCAAGACUAAAACCGAACUAUAGUAGUACACCAUCAUCUUGGAUUCAUUCAUUUUACUUUUUUUUUAUAAUUAUUUUUAUUAUAUAACUUUGUUAUCUUUUAUUUUUGGUCAUAUAAAAUGGCGGUUCUUGAAUGUAUUAUUUUGAUUGUAGUGGA
rnacentral:lncRNA from 1 species